AUGCUGGAAAAAGUUGGAAACUGGAAUUUUGAUAUCUAUUUGAUAGACUAAUAAAUGGAAAUAGUCUAGUAAGCUUAACCUUUCAUUUAUUUAGUCUUGAUGGAUUGAGUACUUCCAUUUAGAUAUGAUGAAACUUCGUAUUUUUAGUUAUGAUUCAAGAUUACCACAGUCAAAAGCCUUACCAUAAUGCAGUCCACGCUGCAGAUGAUACUCGGGCCAUGCAUUAUUACUUAAAGGAACCUAAGCUUGCCAAUUCUGUAACUCCUUGGGAUAUCUUGCUAAGCUUAAUUGCAGCUGCCCCUCAUGAUCUGGAUCAUCCAGGUGUUAAUCAACCUUUCCUUAUUAAAAUUAUUACUUGGCAACUUUAUACAAGAAUACCUCAGUACUGGAAAAUCACCACUGGAGAUCUGCAGUGGGCUUAUUGAGAGAAUCAGGCUUAUUCUCACAUCUGCCAUUAGAAAGCAGGCAACAAAUGGAGACAGUUGGAAGGGACUGCAGAGAGAACAGUCCAGCAGUGAGGACACUGAUGCUGCAUUUGAGUCGAACUCACAGUUAUUACCUCAGGAAAAUCGGUUAUCAUAACCCCCAGAACCAGUGGAACGAACUGCCUCCUGGAGGUUUUUAGAAAUGUGAGAUGGGGUCUUAAGGUGAGAAAACUUACUCUUGACCGCCAACGUUUCCAAGUGAGUGAUGCCAGCCAGCAUUAUUUAUUUCCAAGAUUUCCUCUGUUGGAUCAUGUGAACCCACUUAUUAAUUAUAAGACCUGAACAUACAGCAAUAUGAAUUUGGCUUUCAUGUGAAACCUUGAAUAUGCCAAGCCCAGCAGGAGAGAAUCCAAAAGGAGUAACAAAGGAGUUUGGAGGUGUGCCAUGACUUUUUCAAAGCAUCUAAUCUUCAAAACGUGAAACUUGUUCAACAACAGUCUCUUGGAAUUUAACCAGUCUGAUGCAACAGUGUGUAUCUUGUACCUUCCACUAAGUUCUCUCUGAGAAAAUGGAAAUGUGAAGUGCCAAGUCUCUGCUGCCUCUGGCAAGACAGUGUUUACAAAUCAACUCUGAAAUAUUGGUUCUAAAUUGCCCUGGAGCAUGAUUGUGAAGGAACCACUAAAACAAAUUAAAAGAUCAAACUUUAGACUGCAGCUCUUUCCCCCUGGUUUGCCUUUUCUCUUCUUUGGAUGCCACCAAAACCUCCCAUUUGCUAUGGUUUUAUUUUGUGCACUGGAAACUGAGCAUUUGUCAUAGAGUACCACCAAGCUUUCACUCCAGUGCUGUUUAGCAAUGCAAUUUUUUUUUUAAACAAUUAGUUUUUAAUUUGGGGCGGGAGGGGAAGAACACCAAUGUCCUAGCUGUUAAUUAUGACCCUGCAGUGAAGACACUGCAUGUUUUCAUUACUGUACACUUGACCUGCACAUGCAAGAAAAAGCUGGAAUGUUUAUAACACCAUAAUCAGCUCAGGGUAUUUGCCAAUCUGAAAUAAAAGUGGGAUGGGGAAGUGUGUCCAUCAGAUCAAGGGUACUAAAGUCCCUUUCACUGCAGUGAGUGAGAGGUAUGUUGUGUGUGAAUGUAUGGAUGUGUGUUUGCAUGCAUGUUUGUGCAUGUGUGACUGUGCAUGUUAUGUUUCUCCAUGGGGGAAAAGAUUGAAAUGUAAGCUUUUAUUUAUUAUUUUAGAAUGGGACAUAUGAGCAGCCACAGUUGGGGGAGGAAAAGGUCGGUAAGUAAGCCGUAACAGAUUGCUCCAGUUGCCUUAAACUAUGCACAAGGCUAAGUGACCAAACUUCUCGUUUUGAUUUGAAAAAAAGUGCAUUGUUUUCUUGUCCCUCCCUUUGAUGAAACGUUACCCUUUGACCGGCCUUUUGAUGUGAACAGAUGUUUUCUAGGACAAACUAUAAGGACUAAUUUUAAACUUCAAACAAUCCACUUUUGUAAUUUGUUUUAAAUUGUUUUAUGUAUAGUAAGCACAACUGUAAUCUAGUUUUAAGAGAAACCGGUGCUUUCUUUUAGUUCUUUUGUAAUUCCCUUGUUACUGUAAAAGACUGUUUAUUAAUUAUGUUUACAGUUUGUUGCAACAGCCAUUUUCUUGGCGGAAAGCUUGAGUGUAAAGCCAUUUGUGAAGGCCUUUGCCAUACUCAUUUUAAUAUGUGCCUGUUGCUGUUAACUUUUGAUGAAUAAAAACCUAUCUUUUCACAUUUAAAAAAAAUAUAGGAGAAACACUGAAAACAGAUGAUGGAUUUUAGGAAGUAGAAGGCAUAAUCAAUCUCCUCUUCCAUAACUGAAAUAUACAAACAAAAGGAAACCAAACAUGAAAAGAAUGUUAAGAAUCCGGAGAAGGGGCUCAACUCAUAUCACAGAUUUAGAGCUAAGACACAGCUCUUUCUCCACAAAGGAUCACACAUACAGAGGGUGAAACGUGAGUCAUUACAUUCAAAUACCCUACUGAUAUCCCACUUUUGGUAGAAAAGGUGACUGAGGUAAUAAGUGGCACAGAAGAAAGAGAUAAACUUGGCCGGGCGCGGUGGCUCAAGCCUGUAAUCCCAGCACUUUGGGAGGCCGAGGCGGGUGGAUCACGAGGUCAACAGAUCGAGACCAUCCUGGUCAACAUGGUGAAACCCCGUCUCUACUAAAAAUUACAAAAAAUUAGCUGGGCACGGUGGCGCGUGCCUGUAAUCCCAGCUACUCGGGAGGCUGAGGCAGGAGAAUUGCCUGAACCCAGGAGGCGGAGGUUGCGGUGAGCCGAGACUGCGCCAUUGCACUCCAGCCUGGGUAACAAAAGCGAAACUCCGUCUCAAAAAAAAAAGAAAGAAAGAGAUAAACUUCUCAACUAGAGACAUGGAUCCCUGUUUAAAAAAGAAAAACACAUUUCUGCCCUAGCCCGAACGAAGAUUAAUUACAUACCCGUCUAGCCAGAAAGAAAUCAGAAAAAGGUCUGGAAAAUUAUCUCUUAGAUCUAAAUGUCUUAGCUGCAUUAGAAAGAUUUGCUAGAAAAGAAAUCAGGGCCAGCAAUAUUAUUGUGCACAAGAUAAGUCACCAAAGCAGAUGACAGCCACUGUAAAGAAGUACAAAAAUAAAACCUCAAGGGCACAUCCCAUAGAACUAGAUACUUCCCUUACCCUGCAACUGGUAAAGCAGCCACCACUUUGUGAGUUUAAAACAAUCACAGAGAAAAAAUGUCACUUCAGGAGGUUGUAGAGUCCUAGAGUCACCUACUCCCUCUCUGGCUUCCCCAACCUCUGAGGAAUGAGAUUAAUACAAACCACACACAACUACCAGUCAUAUCUUGGAAAGGGGAUUCAAACAGCAAUUUAUAAACAUGUAUAAGGCAGUUAAAGAGAAUUCAACCAGAUUACUAUGGGCAACUAACUGGUUUCCAUAGUGAGCGAGAGUGCCUGGGGAUCCACACUUCCCGCAGGGACCUGUACAAUCCUGGGAUGGGGGAUUCCUCCUGACCCCAGGCAUAUAGAUUGAUACAGACAGCUGCCCAGAGUGUUUCCAGAGGCAACACUCAAGUCCACAAGGGACCGCCAUAGGCCUUGGACCCCAGAACAGCCUGGUGCCAUCUGCCAUACCUCUAAUACAGGCUGCAGUUGUGGUGGUAAGAAUGCUCAACUCCACCCCAAAAGACAAUGCUUGAUGACAGCUUCUAGCACAGUGACCCCACUUCUGUCUAACAACUCUGCAGAUGGGUACAGCCCCAUGUUCUCCUAGGAAGCACCCAGACAGCCGAGUGAGCGACUCCUGCUACCCCUGCUGCUCAUAGCCAGGAGACGCAUCUCUGGCGGGGCUUCCUGUAUAGCAGACCCAUUUUUGCCUGAACAAUUCAGGUGGGCACAGCCCUGUCUUCCCCUGGGAAGCACUCAGAUGGUGGAGCAGGUGACUUCACCCACUCCUGCUCCUCCUAGCUGUGUGGGAUGCACCAGUUGGGGCUCCAAGCAAAGUAGACCCACCUCUGCCUGAAUUCUGUUAGUGGCACAGCUCUGUGUUCCCCUGGGAAGCACCCACAUCAUGAAUAACUAACAAUGAAAUUCUGGCCUUAAACUGGACACUUGACCAACUGGAGCUAAUAAACAUCUACAGAAUACUCCACCCAACAACUACAGAAUAUACAAUCUUCUCAUCCAUACACGGAAUAUAUUAUAAGAUGGACUACAUGCUUGCCCAUAAAGCUCUCAAUAAAUUUGGGGGAAAAAAAGAAAAAAGAAAGAAACCUAUCAAGCAUACUCUUGGACCACAAUGCAAUAAAAACAGAUUUCAAUACCAAGGUAAUCUCUCAAAAUAACAAAAUACAUGGAAAUUAAACCACUUGCUUCUGAAUCACUCUUGGGUAAGCAAUUAAAUUAAGGCAGAAAUUUAAAAAUUAUUUGAAAUUAAUGAAAAUAGAGACACAAAUUACCAAAACCCUUGGGCUACAGCUAAAGUGGUGUUAAGAGGAAAGUUUAUAAGUGGCCUCAUUGAGAGGUUAGAAAGAUCUCAAAAUAACCAUCUAACACUGCACCUAGAGGAACUAGAUAAAAACAAAAAGAAGAAUUCAUCUUCAAAGCUAGUAGAAGAAAAGAAAUAACCAAAAUCAGAGACGAACUGAAUUAAAUUGAGAUCCAAAAGUUCAUGUCAAAAGAUAAAUGAAGAGUUCCUUUUUUGAAAGAACAAGAUUGAUAGCUCACUAGCUAGAUUAGCAAAGAAAAAAAGUAGAAGAUACUAGUAAGCACAAUCAGAAAUAACAAAGAUGACAUUAUAAGAGAGCCCACAAAAAAUACAAAAGAUCCUCAAAGACUAUUAUGAACACCUUCAUGCACACAUAUAAGAAAAUUUAGAGAAAAUGGUUAAAUUUCUGGAAACUCACAACCUACUGAGAUUGAACCAGGAAGAAAGUGAAAACUUGAACAGACCAAUAACAAGCUCAGGAAUGGAAUCAGUAAUUAAAAAACAAACAAACAAAAACCUACCACCUAAAAAGAGGCCUGGAUGAGAUGGAGUCAUAGCUGAAUUCUACCAGACAUUCAAAGAACUGAUAUCAAUCCUACUGAAACAAUUCUAAAAAAUCAAGGAGAAAGAGCUUUUCCCUAACUCUCUAUACAAAGCUAGCAUCAUCUUGAUAUCAAAAUUUGGCAGAGACACAAUGAAGAAAGAAAACUUCAGGCCAAUAUCGCUUAUGAACAUAGAUACAAAAAUCCUCAACAAAAUACUAGCCAACUGAAUCCAAAAGCAAGCACAACAAAAAUGUUCCUUCACCACCAUCAGGUACUGUUUAUUCCUGGAAUGGGAGGUUGAUUCCACAUAUGCAAAUUAAUAAAUGUGAUUCACCACAUGAACAGAAUUUUUAAAGACCAUAUGAUCAUCUCAAUAGAUGCAGAAAACAUCUUCCAUGAAAUACAAUACCCCUUCAUGAUAAAAACCCUUAACAGACAAGGCACUGAAGGAACACACCUCAAAAUGAUAAGAGCUUUCUAUGAAUGACAAACAUAGAGCCAACAUCAUUCUAAAUAGGCAAAAGUUGAAAGCAUUCCUCCUGAGAACUGGAAUAAGACAAGGAUGCCCAUUCUGACCAUUUCUGGUACUAGAAGUCUGAGCCAGAGCAAUUAUGGAAGAGAAAGAACUGAAAGACAUCCAAAUAGGAAAACAAGAUGCCAAACUAUCUCUCCUUGCUGAUGACAUGAGUUACGUAGAAUACCCUAAAGACUCCACCAAAAGGCUCCUGGAACUGAUGAACAAAUUCAGUAAAGUUUCAGGAUACAAAAUGAGUAGCAUUUCUCUACAUCGUUAAUGUUCUAGCUGAGAACCAAAUUCAGAACACAAUCCCAUUUACAAUAGCCACAAAAAAGUGAAAUAUCUAGGAAUUCAUCUAAUCAAGGAGGAGAAAGAUCUCUACAAGGAGAACUAUAAAACACUGCCAAGAGAAAUCAGAUGACAAAUAAAGGGGAAAAAAAUUCCCAUGCUUACGGAUGGGAAGACUCAGUACUGUUAAAAUGACUGUACUUCCCAAAGCAAUUUACGGAUUCAAUGCUAUCCCUAUCAAAAUAGCAGUAUCAUUUUUCACAGAAUUAGAAAAAUGUAUUCUAAACUUCAUUUAGAACCAAACAAGAGCCCAAAUAGUAAAAGCAAUCCUAGGCAAAAAGAACAAAACCAAACACAUCACAUUACCCAACUUCAAACUAUACUGGAAGGCUACUGUAACCAACAUGUUACUGGUACAAAAACAGACAAACAGACCAAUGGAACAGAAUAGAGAGCUCAGAAAUAAACCUGCACACCUACAACCUCUGACUUUUGAAAAACUGGCAAAAAUAAGCAAUGAGAAAACAACUCUGUAUUCAAUACACGGUGCUGAGAUAACUGGCUAGCCAUAUGCAGAAGAAACUGGACCCCUACCUCUCACUAUAUUUAAAAAUACUGGACCCCCCACCUCUCACUAUAUUUCAAAAAAACCAAGACACAUUAGAGAUUUAAAUGGAGGACCUCAAACUAUAAAAAUCCUAAGGGAAAACCUAGGAAAUACUCUUCUCAAUAUUGGCUUUGGAAAAUAAUAAUGGCUAAGUCCUGAACAGCAACUGUAACAAAAAAUUGAUGACUGGUACCUAAUUAAACUAAACAGUAAAAUAAAUGAUCAAUAAAGAGACAACUCACAGAAUGGGAGAAAAUAUUAGGAAAUUAUGUAUCCAACAAAGGUCUAAUGUCCAGAAUCUGUAAGGAAAUGUAAAAGUUUAAAAAGCAAAAAUCAAGUAACUCCAUUUGUAAAAAUGGGCAAAGGGGCUGGGCACAGUGGCUCACACCUGUAAUCUCAGCACUUUAGGAGGCCAAGGUGAGAACAUCACUUGAGGCCAGGAGUUCAACACCAGCCUGGCCAAUAUGUUAAAGCCCCAUCUCUACUAAAAAUACAAAAAUUAACUGGGUAGCAUGUUGCCUGUAAUCCCAGCUACUCAGGAGGCUGAGGCAUGAGAAUUGCUUGAACCUGGGAUGUGGAGGUUUCAGUGAGCCAAGAUCAUGCUACAGCACUCCCACUUGGGUGACAGAGCGAGACCCUUUCUCAAAAAAAUUUAAAAACAUGGGGGAAGCAAAGGACAGAAAAAGACACUUCUCAACAGAAGAUAUCAAAGCAGCUGACAAACAUGAAAAAAUGCUCAACAUCACUAUUCACCAGAGAAA